AUUGAACGCUGGCGGCAUGCUUUACACAUGCAAGUCGAACGGCAGCACGGGUGCUUGCACCUGGUGGCGAGUGGCGGACGGGUGAGUAAUACAUCGGAACGUGUCCAGAAGAGGGGGAUAACGCAUCGAAAGAUGUGCUAAUACCGCAUAUGCUCUGAGGAGGAAAGUAGGGGAUCGAAAGACCUUACGCUUUUGGAGCGGCCGAUGUCUGAUUAGCUAGUUGGUGGGGUAAGGGCCUACCAAGGCGACGAUCAGUAGUUGGUCUGAGAGGACGACCAGCCACACUGGGACUGAGACACGGCCCAGACUCCUACGGGAGGCAGCAGUGGGGAAUUUUGGACAAUGGGCGCAAGCCUGAUCCAGCAAUGCCGCGUGAGUGAAGAAGGCCCUCGGGUUGUAAAGCUCUUUCAGUCGAGAAGAAAAGGCUGCAGUGAAUAACUGUAGUUUAUGACGGUAUCGACAGAAGAAGCACCGG
rnacentral:rRNA from 1 species